rnacentral:tRNA from 1 species
GCUCAGGUGGUGGAAUUGGUAGACACGCUAGUUUGAGGGGCUAGUGCCGAGAGGCGUGCGGGUUCAAGUCCCGCCCUGAGCACCA